CCUACGGGAGGCAGCAGUGAGGAAUAUUGGUCAAUGGCCGUAAGGCUGAACCAGCCAAGUCGCGUGAAGGAAGAAGGAUCUAUGGUUUGUAAACUUCUUUUAUAGGGGAAUAAAGGUAUCCACGUGUGGAUAUUUGCAUGUACCCUAUGAAUAAGCAUCGGCUAACUCCUUGCCAGCAGCCGCGGUAAUACGGAGGAUCCGAGCUGUAUCCGGAUUUAUUGGGUUUAAAGGGUGCGUAGGUUGUUUUUUAAUUCAGCGGGGAAAGGUUGCGGCUCAACCAUAAGAGUGCCGUUGAAACUGGAAGUGUUGAGUGGGGUUGAGGUAGGCGGAAUGCGUGGUGUAGCGGUGAAAUGCAUAGAUAUCACGCAGAACUCCGAUUGCGAAGGCAGCUUACUAGGCCAUAACUGACACUGAAGCACGAAAGCGUGGGGAUCGAACAGGAUUAGAUACCCGGGUAGUC
rnacentral:rRNA from 1 species